rnacentral:tRNA from 1 species
AGGGGUGUGGCUCAGUGGUAGGGCACCUGCGUAAUGUGCACAAGGACCUGGUUUCCAUCCCUAGUACUCCUA